AUUGAACGCUGGCGGCAGGCCUAACACAUGCAAGUCGAACGAGUGGCGGACGGGUGAGUAAUGUCUGGGAAACUGCCUGAUGUAGGGGGAUAACUACUUGAAACGGUAGCUAAUACCGCAUACCAUCGGAUGUGCCCCGAUGGGAUGAGCUAGUAGGUGGGGUAACGGCUCACCUAGGCGACGAUCCCUAGCUGGUCUGAGAGGAUGACCCGCCACACUGGAACUGGUACACGGGCCAGACUCCUACGGGAGGCAGCAGUGGGGAAUAUUGCACAAUGGGCGAAAGCCUGAUGGAGCCAUGCCGCGUGUAUGAAGAAGGCCUUCGGGUUGUAAAGUACUUUCAGCGGGGAGGCGUUACCCGCAGAAGAAGCACCGGCUAACUCCGUGCCAGCAGCCGCGGUAAUAC
rnacentral:rRNA from 1 species